AUACGGAGGGUGCGAGCGUUAAUCGGAAUUACUGGGCGUAAAGGGCGUGUAGGCGGGACAGCAAGUCGGGUGUGAAAGCCCUGGGCUCAACCCAGGAAGGGCAUUCGAUACUACUGUUCUUGAGUAUGACAGAGGAAAGCGGAAUUCCCGGUGUAGCGGUGAAAUGCGUAGAUAUCGGGAAGAACACCUGUGGCGAAGGCGGCUUUCUGGGUCACAACUGACGCUGAGGCGCGAAAGCUAGGGGAGCGAACGGGAUUAGAAACCCCAGUAGUCC
rnacentral:rRNA from 1 species